rnacentral:rRNA from 1 species
UACGAAUUGUGCGAACGUUAUUCGGAAUCACUGGGCUUAAAGGGUGCGUAGGCGGUUCUCUAAGUCAGGUGUGAAAUCUCUCGGCUCAACCGGGAAACUGCGCCUGAUACUGGAUGGCUUGAGUUUGGGAGAGGGAUGCGGAAUUCCAGGUGUAGCGGUGAAAUGCGUAGAUAUCUGGAGGAACACCGGUGGCGAAGGCGGCAUCCUGGACCAACACUGACACUGAGGAGCGAAAGCCAGGGGAGCAAACGGG